rnacentral:rRNA from 1 species
UACGUAGGUGGCAAGCGUUAAUCGGAUUUACUGGGCGUAAAGCGUGCGUAGGUGGUUUGAUAAGUCGGUUGUGAAAGCCCCGGGCUCAACCUGGGAAUUGCGGCCGAUACUGUCAGACUAGAAAACGGUAGAGGGAGGUGGAACUCCAGGUGUAGCGGUGAAAUGCGUAGGUAUCUGGAAGAACACCGAUGGCGAAGGCAGCCUCCUGGGCCUGUUUUGACACUGAGGCACGAAAGCGUGGGUAGCAAACAGG